rnacentral:rRNA from 1 species
AUUGAACGCUGGCGGCAGGCCUAACACAUGCAAGUCGAACGAGUGGCGGACGGGUGAGUAAUGUCUGGGAAACUGCCUGAUGGAGGGGGAUCACUACUGGAAACGGUAGCUAAUACCGCAUACCAUCGGAUGUGCCCAGAUGGGAUUAGCUAGUAGGGGGGGUAAAGGCUCACCUAGGCGACGAUCCCUAGCUGGUCGGAGAGGAUGACCAGCCACACUGGAAAUGCGACACGUGCCAGAUUCCUACGGGAGGCAGAAGUGGGGAAUAUUGCACAAUGGGCGCAAGCCGGAUGCAGCCAUGCCGCGUGUAUGAAGAAGGCCUUCGGGUUGUAAAGUACUUUCAGCGGGGAGGCGUUACCCGCAGAGGAAGCACCGGCUAACUCCGUGCCAGCAGCCGCGGUAAUAC